GUGAAUGUGUAUAUAAAUAUAUCUGGAGCAUAUUAUAAAACCAGAAGCAAAAGCAACUGAAGUUUUGAAUACGGUUCACCAGAAGUUAGAAGAUAUCUUUUCUAAUUUGAAGAAUAUGGAAACUCCUUAUCCAGGUUCUUAGGCCAUGUUCAGCUGAAUGUCACUUAUAAUUUUUAUUUUAAUAUAUGUAUUUAUGAAUACAAUUGUUGUUAUGAUUUUUUCAGGUAAGAACGAAUGGUCAGAGGGUAACCCAAUAACUAUGUACAGCAUUAUUAAUGAUGAGAGCGUGAAUGACAAUCUGGAUCUUAUUGUCGUCCCUCAAUACGGAAGAAAUCUCGAUCACACUGGUUAAGUGCUAUCCUACUCUUUCGUAUUAUGUUCAAUUAAAUAAAAUGAUGGGUUAUUAAUACCUGUCAAUUAUGUGAGUGUCUCUGUUUGGUUUAGUUCAACUUAUAAAAUCUCUUGAAAUAUACAAGAGAUUUUCUUUAUUUACGUUUGUGUACCGUGUCUUCUUGAAAAAAGAAAUUAAUAAAAAAUAUCAUUGUGUGAUCCUUUUCUUUCCCCUACUGCUGUAG
rnacentral:lncRNA from 1 species